GGAGAGAUACCGAAGCGGUCAUAACGGGGCGGUCUUGAAAACCGUUUGGGUGAACAGCCCACGUGGGUUCGAAUCCCACUCUCUCCGCCA
rnacentral:tRNA from 1 species